CUCUAGCCUGUUUUUAGAUUUAAAACACUGCAAUUGGAUCUCUCGUUUCCUGUGUGCAUUCAUUACAGAGGAAAACUCUGAAGUUGUUUCAGCUGGACACUUUCAAGAUGAUGGUUGAUACAAAAUGCAGAAGACAUCAAAAUCAGGGGAGAAGGAUGGAGGAUGCAGUGACGUGGGACUCGUAGGCAGCCACCCCUCCUCUACACAGCAGAGCAGGAUGGCCG